UGGCCUGUGGUCUAGAGGUUAAGACGCCACCCUUACAAGGUGGAGAUCCCUGGUUCGAGUCCAGGCAGGCCCA
rnacentral:tRNA from 1 species